rnacentral:rRNA from 1 species
UACGUAGGGGGCAAGCGUUGUCCGGAUUUAUUGGGCGUAAAGAGCUCGUAGGCGGUUUGGUAAGUCAGGUGUGAAAUCUCCACGCUCAACGUGGAGGGGCCACCUGAUACUGCCAUGACUGGAGUCCGGUAGAGGAGUGUGGAAUUCCCGGUGUAGCGGUGAAAUGCGCGGAUAUCGGGAGGAACACCCGUAGCGAAGGCGGCUCUCUGGGCAUUACCUGACGCUGAGGAGCGAAAGUGUGGGGAGCGAACAGG